AGUGAACGCUGGCGGUAGGCCUAACACAUGCAAGUCGAACGGCAGCACAGGAGAGCUUGCUCUCUGGGUGGCGAGUGGCGGACGGGUGAGAAAUACAUCGGAAUCUACUCUGUCGUGGGGGAUAACGUAGGGAAACUUACGCUAAUACCGCAUACGACCUACGGGUGAAAGCAGGGGAUCUUCGGACCUUGCGCGAUUGAAUGAGCCGAUGUCGGAUUAGCUAGUUGGCGGGGUAAAGGCCCACCAAGGCGACGAUCCGUAGCUGGUCUGAGAGGAUGAUCAGCCACACUGGAACUGAGACACGGUCCAGACUCCUACGGGAGGCAGCAGUGGGGAAUAUUGGACAAUGGGCGCAAGCCUGAUCCAGCCAUACCGCGUGGGUGAAGAAGGCCUUCGGGUUGUAAAGCCCUUUUGUUGGGAAAGAAAUCCAGCUGGCUAAUACCCGGUUGGGAUGACAGUACCCAAAGAAUAAGCACCGGCUAACUUCGUGCCAGCCGCCGCGGUAA
rnacentral:rRNA from 1 species